GAUGAACGCUGGCGGCGUGCCUAAUACAUGCAAGUCGAGCGAACGUACUAUAAUCUUUCUUUUCUAAUAUUAUCGGCGGACGGGUGAGUAACACGUGUAUAACCUACCUAUAAUACAGUGGUAACUUCGGGAAACCGGAUCUAUUACCGGAUAAUAUUUUGAAUCUCAUGGUUCAAAAGUUAAAGACUUUCUUGCUGUCACUUAUAGAUGUAUCCUCGCUGCAUUAGCUAGUUGGUAAGGUAACGGCUUACCAAGGCAACGAUGCAUAGCCGACCUGAGAGGGUGAUCGGCCACACUGGAACUGAGACACGGUCCAGACUCCUACGGGAGGCAGCAGUAGGGAAUCUUCCGCAAUGGGCGAAAGCCUGACGGAGCAACGCCGCGUGAGUGAUGAAGGACUUCGGAUCGUAAAACUCUGUUGUUAGGGAAGAACAUAUGUGUAAGUAACUGUGAACAAAUUGACGGUACCUAAUCAGAAAGCCACGGCUAACUACGUG
rnacentral:rRNA from 1 species